ACAAAUUACUUCUGAAUAAAUUCUACAUUAGCUAUUUCCCGUUUAAAGCAUUUUGGUACUAAUACUAAUAUAGGUGUAGAAAGAGUACCCCUUUUUGCCUGGACUUCAAGCAGUUUAGCUUUAACCGUGUUAAUAGUCUCACAUUAAUUGGUUUAUAGAGAAUCAAAGUUGAUUUACCAACGAGUCGCGAAAUGCUAUGGUUCUUCCAUAUGAUUUCUGAAUUUAUUCAGAAGUAAUUCGUCGAGAUUGCGCACCCUUAUUUAUCCGAAAAAUACUACGAAAUAUUCUAAAGUGCAGUCGGAUAGAUCCAACCUAUUCUUGAAAUAGACAACUCGCACACACUCCCUUUCCAAAAAAAAUCAAAACACCAACCACUACAGUUAGAUUUAUUAGAUUUGUUGCUAAAAUAUCGGUAUUAAGCCCGAAACUGCCAGCGGAUGGCCAGUGAGCUAAAAAAACGAAAGAAUGGGUUACAUUUUUCAUAUGCUCUCCUCUUAUAGAUAGGA